UACAGAGGGUGCAAGCGUUGUUCGGAAUUAUUGGGCGUAAAGGGCGCGUAGGCGGUGCUGUAAGUCUGUAGUGAAAUCUCUGGGCUCAACUCAGAGUCUGCUAUAGAAACUGCAGUGCUGGAGUGUGGGAGAGGUGAGUGGAAUUCCCGGUGUAGCGGUGAAAUGCGUAGAUAUUGGGAGGAACACCUGUGGCGAAAGCGGCUCACUGGACCACAACUGACGCUGAGGCGCGAAAGCGUGGGGAGCAAACAGG
rnacentral:rRNA from 1 species